rnacentral:ncRNA from 1 species
UAAAAAACAGCAAGAAGAGUAAAUGGAAAAAUUGUUUUAAGCGAGUCGUUGGUUGAUGAAAAACGAUAACAAUUGACUGUUGAAGAUGGUCUUGUUGAGAAGUUCUAUUGCUGAGUUGUGCUGAAUAAUAAGGCAAUAGCGGGAACUCCCGUUAGCGAGUCGAAGUAUCUUCUGGAGAUAAAUAAGAAUGUACUUUUGAAGGAAUAGUUUGUGAGAACUAUUUAAAUUAAGGUGGUAACGCGAAAAGCAGUCUUUUCGUCCUUAGC